UCUGACAAAGUUGUCAUUCAGUUUUUUUUUAAUUUUUUAGUCGUUAUUUUGCCACACGUUUUAGACCCAGCUCUGGCACACACGCAAUUAUAAGGGACACACAUGCAUGGCGAAAUUGUCCGUUUCCCCGACCUAUCCGUAAGGUAAAUACAGCACAAAGUGCUUAAAGCGGGAUCGGUACGGACUAUAUUGUUUUGUUGUAGAUAGCCCAAAAGUGAAAGCAAGCAGGUAAGGUGAAAUCAGUUCAGAGAAGCAGGGAAACUAGAGCAAAAUCUUUUGCUUAGCGUGAGAUUUUCCAAGCUCUUUUAUUUUCUGUGCACUUAUUUGUAUUUAUGGAUGGCGACGCUGCUGAAACGCACUAAAAAUUUAUUGUCUGCAACUCAAAGCUUGACAUGAAUUUUAUUUAUAUUCAUUGGAAUUGGAUUUGUGGGACCCCAAAGAUGUUCGAGCGUGAAAUAUACGAGCAACAGUCGCAGUAGCUGUUCCUGCUCGCACUGCUCGCCACCCAAUAAGGAACAGGAAUAGAAGGUGCUGAACUGGAACUUUGUGAUGAUCGGCGAAGGUGCACAGCGGACGCUACGAGGAUAUUCCUAAGAGUGUCAUCUGGCUGUGCAAUCUGGCCAACUAAUUGGCCUUUGGCUCUGUAAAGAAAAUUCCGAAGCGCUACACGAGCGUAUAUUUAUUU